UGCACAUAAAUGUUCUUAGCAGCUUUAUUUUUAAUAGGCCCAAACUAGAAACAACCCAAACGUCCAUCAGCUGGUGAAUGGAUAAACAAAUACAAUGGAAUUGUAUUCAGCACAACAUGGAUGAAUCUCAAAAACAUUAUGCUGUGAAGGAUCCCAGACUCAAAAUGCUACCUACCUACUGUAUGAUUCCAUUUAUAUGGAACAUACACAACUAAUCCGUAGUGGUUCUCUUUGUAGGAUGAGGUGAGGGUGAAUUUGACUGAGAAGGGGCAUGAGAGAAGUUUCUGAGAAUGAUGGUAGUGUUUAAUAUCUUGACAGGGGUUUGGGUUAUACAGGUGUAUGCCUUUGUCAAAAUUCAGCAAAUAUUCCCUUAAGACUGUGUAUUUCAGGCCAGGCGCGGUGGCUUAUGCCUGUAAUCCCAGCACUUUGGGAGGCCAAGGUGGGCAGAUCACCUGAGAUCUGCAGUUUGAGACCAGCCUGGCCAACAUGGCAAAACCCCAUCUCUACUGAAAAUACAAACAUUAGCCAGGCGUGGCAGCGUGCGCCUGUAAUCCCAGCUACUCAGGAAGCUGAGGCAGGAGAAUUGCUUGAACCCAGGAGGCGGAGGUUGCAGUGAGCAGAGAUAGUGCCACUGCACUCCAGCCUGGGCAGCAGAGCAAAACUCUG
rnacentral:lncRNA from 1 species